GACUCUCGACAAUGGAUAUCUCAGCCCUGGCAUCGAUGAAGAACGUAGAGAAAUAUAAUACUUUGUGUGAAUUGUAGAAUCCCGUGAACCAUCGAGUCUUUGAAAGCAAGUUACGCCCUUGGCCAUCGGGCACGCCUGCCUGGGCGUCA